UACGUAGGGGGCUAGCGUUGUCCGGAAUCAUUGGGCGUAAAGCGCGUGUAGGCGGUCCGGUAAGUCCGCUGUGAAAGUCGAGGGCUCAACCCUCGAAUGCCGGUGGAUACUGUCGGGCUUGAGUACGGGAGAGGCGAGUGGAAUUCCUGGUGUAGCGGUGAAAUGCGCAGAUAUCAGGAAGAACACCCGUGGCUAAGGCGGCUCUCUAGUACGGUACUGACGCUGAGACGCGAAAGCGUGGGGAGCGAACAGG
rnacentral:rRNA from 1 species